rnacentral:rRNA from 1 species
UAUGUGAUCGUCUCUCGCAUAUCAAUAAGCGGAGGAAAAGAAACUAACAAGGAUUCCCCUAGUAACGGCGAGUGAAGCGGGAAGAGCUCAAAUUUGAAAUCUUAAGGGUUUCCCUUUACGAAUUGUAGUUUAAAGAAGUGUUUUCUGUUGAGGUUUUGGUAAAAGGUUCUUUGGAAUAGGACAUCAUAGAGGGUGAGAAUCCCGUAUUUGACCUUUACUUUCAACUUUGCGAUACACUUUCAAAGAGUCGGAUUGUUUGGGAAUGCAGUCCAAAAUGGGUGGUAAAUUUCAUCUAAAGCUAAAUAUUGGCGAGAGACCGAUAGCGAACAAGUACCGUGAGGGAAAGAUGAAAGAACUUUGAAAAGAGAGUUAAACAGUACGUGAAAUUGUCAAAAGGGAAGCGUUUGACACCAGUGUUGUUUUUCUGAAAAUCAAUUAAAGAACUGUUUAUGCUAAGCUGUUUAGACUUUAUCAGCUAUCUGUUUAGUUUUAGGCUUUUCUUUAAUGCACUUUUCAGUUAACAAGUCAACAUCAAUUUCUUUUGCUGUAAAAAAGCUUGAGGAAGGUGGCUUGAGAUUCGUCUUAAGUGUUUAUAGCCUCUUGCCUAUGCAGUCGGAGAGAUUGAGGUCUGCAGCGUAGAUCCUUCGGGGCUAAAUGCAUUUGUGCUAAGUUAUAGCAUUUUAUAGACAACUUGUUGACUAUGAUUUGUCUUGUAGCUUACUCGCUUAUGUUAUUUUACCUACGCUUAGGAUGUUGACACACGCGCGUGCUCG